rnacentral:rRNA from 1 species
GACGGAAGGUGCAAGCGUUGCUCGGAAUCACUGGGCGUAAAGGGUGCGUAGGCGGCUUGGUAAGUUGGGUGUGAAAGCCCCGGGCUCAGCCCGGGAAGGGCACUCGAAACUGCCGAGCUGGAGUGCCGGAGGGGAGAGUGGAAUUCCUGGUGUAGCGGUGAAAUGCGCAGAUAUCGGGAGGAACACCAGUGGCGAAGGCGGCGCUCUGGGCCGGAACUGACGCUGAGGAGCGAAAGCGUGGGUAGCAAACAGG